rnacentral:rRNA from 1 species
GACGAACGCUGGCGGCGUGCUUAACACAUGCAAGUCGAACGGAAAGGCCCUGCUUUUGUGGGGUGCUCGAGUGGCGAACGGGUGAGUAACACGUGAGUAACCUGCCCUUGACUUUGGGAUAACUUCAGGAAACUGGGGCUAAUACCGGAUAGGAGCUCCUGCUGCAUGGAGGGGGUUGGAAAGUUUCGGCGGUUGGGGUUGGACGCGCGGCUUAUCAGCUUGUUGGUGGGGGAGUGGCUUACCAAGGCUUUGACGGGUAGCCGGCCUGAGAGGGUGACCGGCCACAUUGGGACUGAGAUACGGCCCAGACUCCUACGGGAGGCAGCAGGGGGGAAUAUUGCACAAUGGGCGGAAGCCUGAUGCAGCAACGCCGCGUGCGGGAUGACGGCCUUCGGGUUGUAAACCGCUUUAGCCUGUGACGAAGCGUGAGUGACGGUAAUGGGUAAAGAAGCACCGGCUAACUACGUG